ACUCAAUGUGAACAGUCCGUCCACGCAAACGGCAAACCAACCAAACGACACCAAAACACCAAUCUCUAUCUGCCCACUUUCUUCUCGAAACCAGUUGCGCCGCCGCUCGCCGGUUCUGGCCCUUGCCGGCCACCCCCGCAUCGCAGCUCCGGAUCCUCACUCCCGGCUCAUACCUCGCCGCCGCCGCAUCCCAGCGCCUCCAAAUCGCCAAUUUUUCGCUAACCCCAGGACGAUGCCUCACGCGGUAUGGCUCGCCUCCGGCUGGGCCUUGCCGUCGAUUGACUGCACGCGGGGCGCCGCUGCUCCUCCAAGGCAUCAAGCGCGCCAAUUAAGGGCCGCUUCCAAGGUCUCCGCUGCAUGCGAGCACCGGCACCCGGCCGUGCGCUGCUUGGACGGCGUCCUCGCGGGAUCGCCAGAGGGCAGGGAUGGCGUCGACGAGGUCGUGCGUGCGUGCGGCACCUCAAGGACGGGUCGGGCGUAUCCGCGACCUACGGGAGCUUGCCCCCGACCACCGUCGCCGCCGCCGCCGUUCAGUAGGGCCUUGUCGACAUCAAGGAAGUUAGGGCUUUCGUCCACAAUCUGCCGGGCAAGUCCUGCUGCAUCUCGCGUGUUGGAUACUUGGAUGGCCCUGCUGCUCACUAACCAGUGGGUGAUGUCUUGGCCCUUGGUACGAGGAGCCUCUCUGUGACUUGACGAGUCUUGCCGCUGAUGGCUCGUCUUGACGGGGCUGCUGUCCCGCUGCUCGUCUCCCCGUGGAUGGACGAAAAAGAUUUCAGCACUGAGUCGUCCUUCACCUCUGCCCUCGCUGCCAUGCGAUGGUGGCGAGUUGACCACGUCACACUGGUGGCAGCGGAGAGCUUCUUCUACUCCUUCGUGUUUUAUGCAUUAUGAGGAUCAGGCCUCUGUUUUCACGGCGGCACGCUGCAAGCAACUGCUAGGUGUUGCCUUGUCCUCGGCUACGAUGACCCCCUGGGAGUGUCAAGCUGCUUGCUCCCAAAGGCCCACCAAGGCAUCGACUUCCAAAGGAUAGAUCGUUACGACGGGGCGGCUGUCCUGGAGUUCAUCCCUAGUGGGUGGACGACCACAUGACUUCGGGUGCGAUGCCGGCGCGCUGCAAGAGACCGCUGAUAUCUUGGCCUCAAUAUUAUCAUUAUGCUCAUGUAUGGUUGCUCAUGCAUUUUUCCUAUAUAUGAACGGGAGGUCAUGAAUGAUGGAGAAGAGCAACCAGAACAUGCUAGAUGAUCAUCUACAUCUAUAUUCCAAGGAGUGUGCCGAAGCUGAGAAGCAGGAAAGCACCAGAUGUUGUUGUUGCAGUAGGUCAUUCUUUAGGGCCUGGAACAUGCAUGUGGACUGAAGGAAGUUACAGCGACAGAGCACCGUUUUGCAGUUUUAGAAACCUUGGAGCAUAGGAGGCUGUUAUUUGAUGCAUGCCUGGAGGGUGGCCUUCUUCUUUGACUCCCAUGGUUUUUUGGUUUCUUAGGUUCAAACUUGGAUCAGUGAAGCAAAAAAUAGUUUUGCAGGAGAGCACCAGACACCGGUGGAAUGCUGCAGUGGGUGGCCUAGAGCAUGUUUGUAGACAUAAGAAAGCCAUGCACCAGGAUUGUGCUAGUUGUGGCGACAGUUUUGCAGGAGAGCGCGAGAUGCCGGUCAAAUGCUACAGUGGGUUGUUGCCUGGAGCAUGUGUGUUGACCGGAGAAAGUUAUGCCCCGCUUUGCAGGUAUUGGGAAGUAGCUACACUAAAAAUUGAGGUGCUGGAUAGAGGACUAGUUGGCCGAGCCUUCUUAUUCAGCUGGUUUGUGGUAGCUGGCUGGAGCGUAGCGCUAGAGGAGCUUUGCAUGGAGCAGUAGCCAUUGAACUAUUGUGGGUGGCGCUUGUGGAGGGCAGGGGUGGAUGCAGCACUUCCUGAUGCAGAAAUGGAGAGAAGCGGCUUGGAGAGAGCCGUGGCCUCUGGCCUACCCUCUUUCUUCUUAUCAUUUUAUAGUUGACGUAGGGAUGUGGUGUCCUAAAAGGUUAAGGGUGCUUGUUGUUAAGCUACAUGUUGUGUAGGUUGGUUGCAUCUCUUUUUUAUGAUUGAGCAUGGUUUUCUAAACUUGUAUUUCUCUCUAUUUAAACUUGUGAUACCAAUUAUAGGGGUUGCUUAUUUUGUUGCUUUCCUUC